UACAGAGGGUGCGAGCGUUAAUCGGAAUUACUGGGCGUAAAGGGCGCGUAGGUGGUUAAUUAAGUCAGAUGUGAAAUCCCUGGGCUCAACCUAGGAAUUGCAUAUGAAACUGAUUAGCUAGAGUACGGUAGAGGGAAGUGGAAUUUCCGGUGUAGCGGUGAAAUGCGUAGAUAUCGGAAGGAACAUCAGUGGCGAAGGCGACUUCCUGGACCGUUACUGACACUGAGGCGCGAAAGCGUGGGGAGCGAACAGG
rnacentral:rRNA from 1 species